rnacentral:rRNA from 1 species
AACGUAGGUCACAAGCGUUGUCCGGAAUUACUGGGUGUAAAGGGAGCGCAGGCGGGAGGACAAGUUGGAAGUGAAAUCUAUGGGCUCAACCCAUAAACUGCUUUCAAAACUGUUUUUCUUGAGUAGUGCAGAGGUAGGCGGAAUUCCCGGUGUAGCGGUGGAAUGCGUAGAUAUCGGGAGGAACACCAGUGGCGAAGGCGGCCUACUGGGCACCAACUGACGCUGAGGCUCGAAAGUGUGGGUAGCAAACAGG